GAUGAAGAACGCAGCGAAAUGCGAUAAGCAAUGUGAAUUGCAGAAUUCAGUGAAUCAUCGAAUCUUUGAACGCACAUUGCGCCCGCCAGCAUUCUGGCGGGCAUGCCUGUUCGAGCGUCAUUUCAACCCUCGAGCCCCCCCGGGGGCCUCGGUGUUGGGGGACGGCACACCAGCCGCCCCCGAAAUGCAGUGGCGACCCCGCCGCAGCCUCCCCUGCGUAGUAGCACACACCUCGCACCGGAGCGCGGAGGCGGUCACGCCGUAAAACGCCCAACUUUCUUAGAGUUGACCUCGGAUCAGGUAGGAAUACCCGCUGAACUUAAGCAUAUCAAUAAGCGGAGGA
rnacentral:misc_RNA from 1 species